GCCGCGGUGGUCUAGUGGCUAAGAUACUCGGCUACUGACCCGAAGGUCGCGGGUUCGAAUCCCGGCUGCGGCG
rnacentral:tRNA from 1 species